GCGGAUUCGAAAACUGACUCGUUUGUCAGAACAGAGAGGCUGCAGCUCGUUAUCAAAAUGCAGUAUUCCCAUCACUGUGAGCACCUUUUAGAGAGACUGAACAAGCAGCGAGAAGCCGGCUUUCUUUGUGACUGCACUGUUGUUAUUGGGGAAUUCCAGUUCAAAGCACACAGAAAUGUGCUUGCCUCUUUCAGCGAGUACUUCGGUGCAUUUUACAGAGAUGCGUCCGACAAUAAUGUUGUUUUGGAUCAGACUCAAGUGAAAGCUGAUGGAUUCCAAAAACUCCUGGAAUUUAUUUAUACAGGAAACUUAAACCUUGACAGCUGGAAUGUUAAAGAAAUUCACCAGGCUGCUGACUAUCUCAAAGUAGAAGAAGUGGUCACUAAGUGCAAAAUCAAGAUGGAAGACUUUGCGUUUAUUGCUAAUCCCUCUUCUACAGAGACAUCUAGUAUCACUGGAAACGUUGAAAUGAAUCAGCAGACUUGCCUUCUGACCCUCCGAGAUUACAAUAAUCGGGAGAAGGCAGACGCUGCUUCUGCAGAGUUGGUUCAGCCACAGGCAAAGAAAGCAGCUUUAGAAAAGAAAUCUCCUCAAACCAAAAAGCGAAAGAAGAAUUUCAGCUCCCCCAAAAGCAUACAGAAUAAAUCUGUACAAUAUCAGAAUGAUGUGACCGAGAACACAUCCAUUGAAAUGUUUUUAGAUGCAAAUAAGCUGGCCACCCAGAUCACGGAACAGGCUGCCCAAGGCAGUGAUAACUCGGAACUACAGCUGGCAUCUGUGGUGGAAAGCGAAACAUUGGCAGCGCAGGAUAUCCUAGUUCAGACGAUGGCAGCAAAACAGAAACGGGGAAAGCCUCAGCAAAGCUGUGCACUGAAGGAGCACUGUAUGUCUAACAUAGCCAGUGAAAAGAACGCUUACCAGCUGGAGAGUUCGGGAGAAGAACUUGACCAGAAGUACUGCAAAGCUAAGCCGGUGUGCAACACCUGCGGGAAAGUCUUCUCAGAAGCCAGCAGCCUCCGUCGACACAUGAGAAUACACAAAGGAGUGAAACCGUACGUGUGUCAGCUUUGUGGGAAGGCAUUCACCCAGUGCAAUCAGUUGAAAACACAUGUAAGAACUCACACAGGGGAGAAGCCAUACAAAUGUGAGCUAUGCGACAAAGGCUUUGCUCAGAAGUGCCAGUUAGUGUUCCACAGUCGGAUGCAUCACGGAGAAGAGAAACCAUACAAAUGUGAUGUCUGCAACCUGCAGUUUGCAACUUCAAGCAAUCUGAAGAUUCAUGCCAGGAAGCACAGCGGAGAGAAGCCCUACGUGUGUGAUCGGUGCGGUCAGCGGUUUGCUCAGGCCAGCACGCUCACCUACCAUGUGCGUCGCCACACAGGAGAGAAACCUUACGUGUGUGACAGUUGUGGAAAAGCCUUUGCCGUCUCCAGUUCUCUCAUCACCCAUUCCCGAAAACAUACAGGAGAGAAGCCAUAUAUCUGUGGCAUUUGUGAAAAGAGUUUUAUUUCCUCUGGAGAGCUCAAUAAACAUUUUCGGUCCCAUACAGGUGAAAGACCAUUUAUCUGUGAAAUGUGUGGAAAUUCUUACACAGAUAUAAAAAAUCUUAAGAAGCACAAAACGAAAGUUCACACAGGAUCUGAAACUCCCCCUGAUUCUAAUGCACUUGAUAAUUCUUUCAAUGAACAAGAAUCCAUUCAGAGUCAGAAAAGUCCUUUAUCGGAGUCUAUAGAUGUGAAACCCUCUGAGAUGUCUUUAGCACUUCCUCUUCCCAUUGGGACUGAAGACCAUCAGAUGCUGCUUCCCGUGACGGGUAGUCAGUCUCCUUCAUCAGAAACAUUACUAAGAUCUGCUGUGACUGGAUAUUCAGAACCUCAGUUUAUUUUCUUGCAGCAGUUAUACUGACAGUGCAGUACACAGCCAUCAAGGUAAUUUGGUAGUGAACUUGCAUACGUUUGGUAAGAUGAACAUAAGCAAGCAAGCAGUCACACUUUUUGAAUUGGACUUCUUUUUUUUCCGCUGUGUAAAGACACUUGUAAGGCAUUUCCAUUGUGCAGUGCUGUCUUUUGGUUUUUGUUGAAUUGUGCUAAUCUACAAUCAAAUUUCUAUCUGCAAUUAACACUGAUUUCCAGGAGACCAUUCCUCUCCAGCAACACCUGCCUUAAGAAUUCUUUGUUAAAUAUGUUAAUGUAUUUUGGAGAUCUCCUCCCGUGCUCCUUCCAAUCUGAUGUGUCACAUUGUCAUUUGAGAGCAGACAUUUUAAGCCAUAUUUCAUAGUUUAAUAUUAACCCAGAUGUGUAAGGGGAAAAACGUAAUUUGAAUGUACUAACAAGCUUGUACUCCUGCAUUCCAGGGUGAUACAAUGGUACAUGAUGGAAGGUAGGCCAGUGCUCUGGUGAGGUGCUUGCAAAGAAUUACUGCUGUCUGCCAGAAGUAGCCGUCUUCAGUUUAAUUCUGACCAGAGGGAAAGAAAGUUUUGUGUAUAUUUUCUGGGCAAGGCAAGUAAAGGAGGGUUAAUUUUUUUCUGUAGAGUGGUAAGUCAGAGGGUUCUAAUGGCAUAGAUACUACUGGAUAUUCUUUCCAACAAAUCACUUUUUCUUUUUUUGUUGUUUGUUUGUUUGUUUGAAGUGAAUCCAGCAUUGUUGUAUCUUGCCCCAGAUUUAUUUUUCACAUCCCUAAAAUGCCCUGGUUUUGGCACAAACAGCAACAUUUGCUCAAAAGGAGAGCUGGAACACACAUGUUGUAGAUGAGAUGAAAAGAUGCAUUGACUUAAUUGUGAGGCACAAAUCAUAGCUUUGUAAUCCUUUUACAGUAGUGCUUCUUCUUGUGCUAGACAGUAGGUACAAAAGAGGAAGUAAAUUCUGCCUUUCACUGUGAAAACAGUAAGUGAGCGCUAUGUGAGGGGACAUUAAGGAAGAAUACAACAGAGCAGAUUGAUAUUCUUACAGGGAAGGUUUUGUUAGAGUACGACUGAUUUGUUUUAAUUAAAGUAUUUAUGUAUUGCUUUACCUCUCAUGUCACUUGUCCACAGUAACUGCACAAAACUGGUAUCUAGUAAGACCUAGGUAAAGGUAGGUUUUAUUACUAGCAAUGUACAUUUUUAAAAAGCAACAUUUUUAGUGUCUUGGUAGGGUCAUUAGUUAAAGAUUAGUUGUCAAUAGGAGUACUUUUAUACUCCAUUUUGCCAGUUUGUGCCAUUAACAUAAUGUAAGCAUUAUUUAAUUAAUCAUCAAAUAGUAAGGAAACAGUUGUAAUACUGUACCAACAACGCAUUUAAAGAUAUUAUUUGUUGGUUAUUUACUUGGUGCUAGCAUUUUAUUUCCACUGAUGCCUUGUGUCCAGACACUGAUAAAUAGAAGAGCAUAGGCGAUACCUCUUAACUGAUUCUGUUCUACAUGGAGUAAUAAUUAAUCUGCACCUUAAUUAAACAGACUUAUGAAAAAUUUCUUGGAGGAUUUCAUUUAAAUAUUCUGCAAAUGAUCCCUUGACUCCUGAGUGUGACUACAGAUUUUUUUGUUUUAAUUUCUCUUCCUACUUGUUUGUAAUUGUAAAGUAAUAGACUUUUUGCUUCUUUGUGUUGAUCAUCUUAGUAUGUGGCAUGUUUAAAACUCUGCUUCUUGAUCAUAUUUUAUGCUUUAAUAUAUGGCGGAUUUGCAGAUAAAGUCUACUGUGGACAGCAAGGACUACAACCGUGUUCACCAGGAACAUUCUUAAUGCAGGCAUCUCUAACUCUGUCCACUGGAGCUAAUUACUGCCAUAUCUGGCUGACCUUCAUUUUCUUUGCUUACCUGUACUACCACAUUUAUAAACAGCUGAUGUCCUUCAUAAUGCUGGCAAAGGACAAUGGAUUAACUUCUCUGAUUUUUUUUGUUUGUUUGUUUGGCAUUUCCCCUUUUCCUCCCCCCUUUUCUUUUUUAGCUUCUGUUGUUGAUGUAGCGCCUGAAGGAUUCCUUAGCCUUGCCAUUUAAGACUGAAGAACCACAAAGACCAGGAUCUUGACUCUGUAAAAAAAGCGAACACUGUGUAGCUUGUCCUAAGGCUCCUCUUUACUUUCUCUCUCUGAAAAUAGAGCAGAAGUCUUGGGAUAGACAUAGGCUUAGUCAUGGAUACUGAAAAAGAACAAUACCUUACAACUGAUAAGUUUCAUAUUUAAACAGCUUUGGAAGAUGAACUGAUGAUAUGCUGCUGUUAUCUAAGGAAAAGUAUCUGAAGAUUAACAUAUCCAAGAUAAAUGACCACAAGAGAGAACUAGCUCUGGAGAAAAAAAAAAUUUAAAAAAUUACAUUCCUACAUAGAAAAUGCAUUCCAUAACAAUGUUUGUUUGGACUGGUUUUAUAUUUCUAAAAUUAUAGCUUAUUACUGUAUUCUUAGAUUUCAGACUUUUUUAAAAAAUACAGUGCUUAGAUUUAUACAGGAUUUGUUUAGAUACUUAGUAACACUUGCUUUAUUAGUCAUUUAGUUUUCUUUAUAGACAAGAAGAUAAUCAUUAUUUUUUACAAGACAACAAUUUUAACCUUUCUUAAUAGAAUACACAGGCUUGUAGUUUUGUCUUGGAGCAAUAAUUUAGUGACCUGCGCUCUUGAGUCCCCAUCUGAGAGUCUUGAUUUUUAUCCUCAUCUUUCAUGAAGAUAUCUCAGCUGCUGAGGUAUGAUCUCUAUGAACUGUAUUCAUUUACUAGAAUAUAGAUUUUAAAAAUAUAUAUAUAUAAAAAAAAAAUGUUUGUAGGUGUGUUCAGGCUGGGUGCUGUAGGACCUGAAGAAGCAGGUCUGUACUGUACCUUUUGCCAAUAGAUGCAUGGAAGUCAGCUGCACAUCUAAUUCCUCAGCUUAAGGAUUCUGAGUUCAUUUUGGAGGGGUAGCAACAAAAGAAGGAGGGAAGCAGUCUAACAUAACCACCGUCAAAGCACCCUGUCAGAAGGAUGCGCAGUAGCCCUUGGCGCAGCAUACUAACACAGCAAGGAUCACUACAUUUUCUUCUUGGCAGUAAACACACCUGAUUUUUCUUAUAGAAGAUAUCUUGGGUCUGCUCAAACUAAAUUAAACAAAAACUUUAAAUACAAUCUAGUAUAAUGACUCUUAGGUUAAUUUUUUUCUACUUGUUUUGAGGUGUUGGGGGAUGUGUUUGGGGGUUUUGUUGUUUUUUUACAGAGUGCUUUGAAGAUGUAUAUUUUAUGCUAAAGUAGAUAUUCAGUGAAUUUCUUUGUCAGAAUUUGUAUCUUAACUUAUUUUUACUAGAUUGUUUAGUUUUACAGAAGGUGGUAUGGUGGCUAGAGCACACAGUAGGACUUAGAGAACCUGCACUGUACCACUAGUCUGCUGGAUCAGUCAUUUUCCUUCCCUUUAAACUGGGGCAAAAAUGCUGCCUUUCAGGAAGGCACUGCAAGUUCUGGGAGCUGAAACAAUGGUUUACAGAGCAGGAUUAUGCUUGCUUUAGCUACUAGAAUAACUUAGUCAGAAGAACAUGGCAAAAAAUUCUAGCCUGUGUAAAUUCUCUCACUCCAAAGAACACAAGAUACACCUUAAGAAUUUCAAGGUUUGGUUUUCAGAGAAAGGAAAGCAAUAAAUGUCUCUGGUGUAAGCCUCUUUAAGCAAUACAAGUUUUUGCACAAAUAAUUAUUUUAGUUUGCAGGAAGCUGUUUAUACAAAAUUCAGUAGGAAUUACUCUGCAGACCUGUCUUACAAUGGAAUAUCAAAGUAAACUAACACAAGAGCUAUUUUUAUGGAUAUUGUCAAUAAUGCAGGGUGCUCUUAUGGGCUGAGCAUCUUGCUGUUAAACAAGGGUUCAGACAGAGUACAAAUAUUUCAAACACAUAUGCUAGCAUUUUUGAAAGUAGAUGCCAUUUAUCCUGUUACGUUUUGUGUAUGAUAUUGUUGCCAUCUUACCACAUCUACUAAAAAUAAAAUACAGCUGUUGGUAGAGCUGGGACUGACUUGGUAGAUUUUGGUCCCUGUUACCACAGCAGAUUAACAAAUGUCAUUCAUACAAGUAAAUUAAGAUGCAGUUUGGGCAAUGAAAUUAGCCUGAACUUCAUAUACAGGACAAGGGAAAGAUGGAUGUAUGGAAAAAAUACACCUUGAUCUGAAUCCUGUAGCAGUCUUUCUGGCAAGAAAUUCUAUCCUCAGUGUCAGUACUGAGAGUACUCGCUUUAGAAUAUCACAGUAUAACCUGCAAUGCUCCAGAGCAGCAACGCUCAGAAAAAUACCAACUUUGAUAAUACAGGCUUAUCUAAUUAUUGAGAAACAUCAGAAUUUUCAUAGCAUGCAGAUUCUUAAACAAUCACGUUCAGUGUAUCCUCAACUUUUGUUCUCAUUGCUCUGUUCUUCCUGUUUAACAAUAGUUAAAACAUAAGCUCCUCUCUAGCAUAGGGUUUUCAUAGUGUGAUGUGUGGACUUUGUGCUUAACAAGAUGACUAGAGGUUAAGAUGGCCCUGUGCAGGUAUGUAGAACAAACAUACCUGCUCUGUGGGCUUACCUCUUAACUCCUCUUACGAUACUAAGUGCUUUUUGGAGCAAGAGAGCCUGACUAAUUUGUGUUGGGGGGGGGGGGGAGUGGGUGAAAAAAAACCAAACAAAAACCUCCAGAUACAACAGCUAUCAGUAGCACCUUGGUCAUUUCAGCAUGGUAAGGGGUAUCCAUACCUCUCCCUGUUCCUACACUACCACUGUGAUAAUACAGAAUCAGAACAUCAGCAGUUACAUCACUGCUGCUUAGGUAUUAUUGUUGAAAUUACUUUCUGAUCUUUUUCUCCUCAUACUUCAAUCUCAUAGGUCUUUUGCCUGCGUGCACAUACAUUCACAGGUUAUUCUGUUACUUUAUACUAAUUUUCAACAGGCACAUUUAGACAUGGAGAAGAAUGCACUAGUGAAAGUCUUAGGACAGCAGAGGUUUGCUCAAUUUGGUGACUUUUCCUAUUUAGGAGCAUAGAACUAGUCACUUCUACAGGUAUGAGCAGAGUGGGUGGAAAAAAGAAACAAGCUGAGUGAUUCCCAAACUUCUACGAAGUCUGUAUACAAGCUAUUAAACUAUGUUUAACUAC